AGUGGCGGACGGGUGAGUAACACGUGGGAACGUGCCUUUAGGUUCGGAAUAGCUCCUGGAAACGGGUGGUAAUGCCGAAUGUGCCCUUCGGGGGAAAGAUUUAUCGCCUUUAGAGCGGCCCGCGUCUGAUUAGCUAGUUGGUGAGGUAAUGGCUCACCAAGGCGACGAUCAGUAGCUGGUCUGAGAGGAUGACCAGCCACAUUGGGACUGAGACACGGCCCAAACUCCUACGGGAGGCAGCAGUGGGGAAUCUUGCGCAAUGGGCGAAAGCCUGACGCAGCCAUGCCGCGUGAAUGAUGAAGGUCUUAGGAUUGUAAAAUUCUUUCACCGGGGACGAUAAUGACGGUACCCGGAGAAGAAGCCCCGGCUAACUUCGUGCCAGCAGCCGCGGUAAUACGAAGGGGGCUAGCGUUGCUCGGAAUUACUG
rnacentral:rRNA from 1 species